UACGUAGGGGGCAAGCGUUAUCCGGAUUUACUGGGUGUAAAGGGAGCGUAGACGGCUUUGCAAGCCAGAUGUGAGAGCCCGGGGCUCAACCCCGGGACUGCAUUUGGAACUGUGUGGCUAGAGUGUCGGAGAGGCAGGCGGAAUUCCUAGUGUAGCGGUGAAAUGCGUAGAUAUUAGGAGGAACACCAGUGGCGAAGGCGGCCUGCUGGACGAUGACUGACGUUGAGGCUCGAAAGCGUGGGGAGCAAACAGG
rnacentral:rRNA from 1 species